rnacentral:tRNA from 3 species
GCGGGCGUAGUUUAAUGGUAAAACUCCAGUUUUCCAAACUGGCCUCGGGGGUUCGAUUCCCCCCGCCCGCUCCA